CUAAUACUCCCUCCGUUCGAAAAAGGUUGUCCCUCAAAUGGAUGUAUCUAACAUCAAAUUAGUGCUAGAUACAUCCAUUUGAGUGGUAAACUCGGGACAAGCUUUUUCGGACGGAGGGAGUAUUAU
rfam:Triticum aestivum genome assembly, contig: Triticum_aestivum_CS42_TGACv1_scaffold_161382_2DL